ensembl:ncRNA R02D5.12 ncRNA
AAGUAAUGGGCUGAGAGUAGUGGAAUAGGUGUCGGCCGGUUUCUCUCUCUCUUCUCAUACGUAUAAUUGCUUUCUCCUUGCUUGUCACCAAUCGUCGUCAAUGAAGAAAAACGAUGAGGAAAAGGCGAAAGAAGGAGAAACAAAAAU